GUGCAAUGAUGUAUUUAUUUGUCAACACAUCAUUCUGAAAAAGGCAUGUGAUGACUUCUUAUGACUGAGCACA